UUAGUUCUCAGCCAUCAAAUAGCCCAUUUAAAGUCAUUUUUUUCCAGCCAAUUGAGAAACUUUCCACAUUCAUUUUCUCAUAUGCCCUCUUAUUCAUUCAAUGAUGGAAAAGCAGAAAUUAGUUUGCAGAGUCCCAGCCCUGGCAUCACACAGAUGAGUAUAGGAGGAUGGGGUUGGAGGUGAGAGACACUAACUUCAUAACUGGCCUGGUCACCUUGGAUGAAUGACUUUCCCUCUCUGAGUCUCGGUUUUCUCUUUGUAGAGAGUUGGAUGUUCAGUUGAGCGUUAUACACAAUAGCAAAAGAAAAAAAAUGAAAACAGCUUUAAGCAGUCUAACAACUGGUAAAAGAAAUUGUCGUAAAACUAGAUAAUAGAAUAUGUUAUGUUUGUUAAGAAUGAUUUUGUUGACGUUAAUGACAUGGGAAGUGUUCUUAAUGAUCGUUGAUAAUCUAAAAUUAUAAUGACAAAAUUCCAAAUAGUUAAACAUAGUAAUAGGAUCCCAGUUUUACUUAAAAGUAUGCAUGACAUCCUUUGAAAAAGGACUUGAAAGACGCAUAUGAAAACUGUUUUUAGAGGUAGCAUUAUAAGUAAUUUCUAGUUUCUUCUCUAUUUUCUAAUUUUUUCUAAAAUGAGUAUGUGUUAUGUUUAUUUCAGAGGGAAAAGCUUUUAAAAUAUUUUUUUAAUCAAAGUGAUGGGCUAACAUCACCAAAAUCCUUCCAGCUAGAGUAUUCUGACGCAUUGAUUUACUCAAAAGGAAGUUUGUCUUCUAAGUUUUAUUUGCAUCUCAGCGAGAGACUACUGGACAGACGGAGAUGGGCCACCGUGCAGAGGAUGCCCCGUCCAGGUCCAGGGACCCUCCUCUGCCUGGUGCCUCGUGUGGCUUCAGGUGGCCAUCCCUGGAAGGCGGGGAAGACCCACACCCCUUAAUUAACCUGAGAAAAAUUGGAAACAGCUGUGAAUAAUUAGACAAUUUAAGUGCUGGGAAGGAGGAAUAAUUUCUGUAACCUUUGUAAUAAAUCUUAUGCUGUCUCAGUCCC
rnacentral:lncRNA from 1 species